UAGGGAAUCUUCGGCAAUGGGGGCAACCCUGACCGAGCAACGCCGCGUGAGUGAAGAAGGUUUUCGGAUCGUAAAGCUCUGUUGUAAGAGAAGAACGUGUGUGAGAGUGGAAAGUUCACACAGUGACGGUAACUUACCAGAAAGGGACGGCUAACUACGUGCCAGCAGCCGAGGUAAUACGUAGGUCCCGAGCGUUGUCCGGAUUUAUUGGGCGUAAAGCGAGCGCAGGCGGUUUAAUAAGUCUGAAGUUAAAGGCAGUGGCUUAACCAUUGUUCGCUUUGGAAACUGUUAAACUUGAGUGCAGAAGGGGAGGGUGGAAUUCCAUGUGUAGCGGUGAAAUGCGUAGAUAUAUGGAGGAACACCGGUGGCGAAAGCGGCUCUCUGGUCUGUAACUGACGCUGAGGCUCGAAAGCGUGGGGAGCAAACAGG
rnacentral:rRNA from 1 species